AUACGGGGGGUGCAAGCGUUAUUCGGAAUUAUUGGGCGUAAAGGGUGCGUAGGCGGUUUUGUAAGUCAGAUGUGAAAUACCGGGGCUUAACUUCGGAACUGCAUUUGAUACUGCAAGACUUGAGUAUGGGAGAGGGAAGCGGAAUUCCUGGUGUAGAGGUGAAAUUCGUAGAUAUCAGGAGGAACACCGGUGGCGAAGGCGGCUUCCUGGACCAAUACUGACGCUGAGGCACGAAGGCGUGGGGAGC
rnacentral:rRNA from 1 species